AUCUUGUGAUCUUGAGUUUGUGCCGCGUUUCUGGGCCACUGAUCCUAGUGAUGGGACUGAGGAACUGAGGAG
ensembl:snoRNA